UCUUAACGACUCUCGGCAACGGAUAUCUCGGCUCUCGCAUCGAUGAAGAACGUAGCGAAAUGCGAUACUUGGUGUGAAUUGCAGAAUCCCGUGAACCAUCGAGUCUUUGAACGCAAGUUGCGCCCGAAGCCUUCUGGUCGAGGGCACGCCUGCCUGGGCGUCAC
rnacentral:rRNA from 2 species